ACACAGAAGACCAGAGGCAGUGUAGUUCAGUGGUAGAGUGCUUUUCCAGCACAUGGUAUUUCAUCUCCAGUGUGGCAAAAAGAAAAAAAACAAAACAAAACAACCGCCAAACAGAGCUUUGCUCCUUCCCUCUGAAAGCCUCUCCUAGCCCCGCCUGUGCGCUCUGGCAUCCUGCCCAGCCCCUUCCAUUCCUCCCACCCAGCCACAGCCCCGUUCUUGCCGAUUCUUCCCUCUUUGUCCCACCUCUGAACCUGCUCGCCCCACCUUCAAGGCCUCCAUUCUCACCGGCCACAUGCUGUGCUCCUGUCACCUGUCACCUCCCCUCCCAGUGAACAACGCCUGCCAUGGCCCUCCGCCCUUUGCUGGGGCUUUAGUUCGCAGCGCUCAUCUCCUCGCAUCUGCACCACCGCCGCCCUCCGCGUUUUCAGUCCUGCCUUCCCCCCUUGGAACACAGGCACUCUGGGACAAGGUGCCCGUCCCUCCGCGGGCAGGUGUGUCCCCGGUGCCCACCCAGCUCCACAGGAGGAGGGCACAGCUGCGCUUCGCUCCGAGGCACAGGCGAGGAUCUGAGACGACACGUGCUGGGUGGCAGGGCAGCAUUCAGGAGCGAGGCUUUCGAAAUAACUUCCAUGGUGUGUACUUCAGCUUUAUUACGAUUGCCGUGACUCAGCUUUCAAGGCCAGUGUGACUGUCAGCAUGUCCCAUCCCCACGCCUGCCCCACUACGCGAAGCCGCGAAACUCCUCGAAGACACCGGGCCUGGCCUGGCCCUGGGCAGCGCUCAGCCAGGGCCCAGAGACCUGGCCUCAGAUCAAAAGCCUUGCGGGGCCCCACACCCCAGGGCUCAGAACACCACCCGGCCGAUGGUGAGCAUCACAUAUCAGGUGAGUGAAUGAGCAACUGGGCCAAGUGCACAGCACCUGGGACUACCUGGGCGACUCUGCAGCCCUUGAAUGCUCACCCCGCCUUGACAGCAAGCAAGCUGGCGAGGGUCUUACUCCGCACUGGGUGCCACAAGUGUCAGCUCGUCUCACCCUUCACAGUCACACAGGUGGGCGCGGACAUACCUGACGGUGGUGGCUGUGAAGAUACCAAAGUGUGAGCUUCCUCGUGUGUGGGCCGGGGCCCUGCUGGUGUGUUCAUGUGACCCUGUGUUCUGUCAAAUUUGUCCAAACGAUAAAGCUGAGCUCAGAGAGAUAAGAAACCCAUCGAAGGACACUGAGAACCAGGAUUUGGAUGCAGGCCUGCCUGUCUCCAAGGCUGCUUCCACUUCUGCACAGGCCUCCCAAAUCAGGGAAAGAAGACCGGGACAGCGGUAGAGCGGGUCUGCGGAAGCUGUGUGAGAUUCCGAGCAGAGAUCAGGAGAGAGCAAGAGAAGUGGGGAGAGAGACUCUCUGAUCAGGAGGGUCCCAAGUCUAGUGCCCCGAAUCCUGAGCACCAGCUCCCUGGCAUCAGAUUCCUGCUACCUCUGACCAUCUCCUCCCCAGCCCCGUCCCUGGUGACCCAAAUCUACUGUUCGCCUUUCCAGCUCCUGAAAAUGCAGAGUACAAACUGCAAGGGACCAGCCCAGCUCACCCUAAAUAAACCUCCUCUCUGUCCCCGUCCCCUUCCUGGGCCCCUCCUUCGGGGCUGCAUGGCCCAGCCCGUGUCUAAUGCCAGCCUGGGGCAAACAAGAGCUGGCAGGCUCCCUCCAGGGCAGCCCCCCCUCCCAGCCACCCUGCGCAGGGCCAGUGUCGGCUGCCCAGGCUUUCAGUUACCUUCAUUAGAAUGGGCCCCGAGAGCUGGCCGGCGCUGACCGCUGGGCUGAUUCUAUCACAGCAGGGAUGAAAGAAGAGAAAAAGAGUGAAACGGAGCCGCCUUUCUGCAGCUGCUGGGAGGUGGACAGAGGCGGCGGGCUGCGGGCAGUGUGCACGGCCCCCAACGGUCUUGAAUGGCUUCGGAGCACAGCAACCCGAGGAGAGAUGGGUCACAGAGCUCGUUCUGAGGCCUAUGAAAUGGGCAUUGAAGCCGACAUUCAGACAGCACUCACCUUGCGCUGGAGACUAACCGAAAUGCCUGUUUACACUAACUCUCCUACUCAGAACAGCCGGAGGAGAGGGAGGCAGCGCCUUCCUCAGCCUGCAGGCGAGAAGACAAAGGCGGCUGACCACAGUAGAGAAACACACUGAGGUCACACGAGGUUGCCUCUCCCUCCUCAUCUGCCUUCAAGACUGAGGACACCAACACAGGAGUGACUAAGUAAUUUUCAGGCUCUGUGGGGACAUCGACUUCCAGCCCCCUUGGAGCUUCCAGCCACUGUCCCAGAUCUGCCAUCUCACCUCGGAGCCCAGGGAAAGCAGAGCCUCAAAGACCACCACACUUGGAGAUCAUGCCCAAGCAGGAGCUGUCAUCUUUUUUUUGGGGGGGGGGUGGGUACUGGGAAUCGAACUUGGGACCUUGCGCUUGCCAGGCAGGCACUUGUGCCGCUGGGCUAUAUCCCCAGCCCCCGUCAUCUCCUGAUGGAAACCCAACUGCCCCUUCCUGCAGGGACGCUGACUCCCGGAACCUUGCAGAACAGUCCCAAGAUACCAAUCAACCAGGCUAGGGCUCACCAGGGUUACCGACCCCACCAGCUAUGCAAACUCCCAACCCUCGGCUUGAUUCUCCCCACCUAUGAAAGCCCAAAGCUUCUGUCAGUCCCUCAAAGACAGAUCUUGCAACUCAUCCGUCUUCCCAGCGCAGCCACGCUGGCCCCAGGUGGGCUCCCUGCCCGACAUCCAUGUUCCUCUCCUUGACCGGUGUUUUGGGACAAGUGACCGAGCCUGGUCUGUUGGGAUCCACAGAGUGUUCCGUCUGUCCCCACAGCGGCAGGUGAGGGGCUCCCACUAGAGGCGCCUCCCUAGCUGUCCUUGACACCCCUGGGGAGAACAAGCCAGCUGCUGUGACUCCGCCCUGCACUGGGUCUUCCCAGCUUGUUUAUGGGAUCUGUAAAAGACAAGCCCUUCCGCCUGACCCUGGACAGGUGGCUGAUCUUGCCAGGGUCCAGCUUUCUCCCCACUGUGACAGCCUGCCCCCCCGUAAUCCUUUUCCAAUAAAGUUUCUUCUUAUAAAAUCUGAA